rnacentral:lncRNA from 10 species
CCUUCACCUGCCGCUGUCCGCCCGGCUUCACCCAGCACCACCAGGCCUGCUUCGAUGUGAAUGAAUGUGAUGGGCCCCACCGCUGCCAGCAUGGCUGUCAGAACCAGCUAGGGGGCUACCGCUGCAGCUGCCCCCAGGGUUUCACCCAGCACUCCCAGUGGGCCCAGUGUGUGGGUGAGUGAAAAGGGCUGGGAAGAAGCUGGGCCCUCCACCAGAAUCUGCUCAGAGCAGGCGACUAACAGACGCCACCCUGCAAGAUGAUGUGACAAGCACAAUUAUCUAAAGAUUGAACAGGCCAGCCCAGAAGGUAGUGAGUUCCCCACUGCUGGGGAGUCAAGGUGCAGCAGAAUAAGCAUCAAAAAGUGUCUGAGUUCAUUCCUUAGGGCAUGGUGGCCUGGAGGACUCAGUUGAGAAAGAUUCUGAGACCUGAAGUCUGCAAUUUUGUGAUCACAGGGAAAGAGUGCUGUGAUUGAUUAGUG